rnacentral:rRNA from 1 species
UACGAAGGGGGCUAGCGUUGCUCGGAAUCACUGGGCGUAAAGCGCACGUAGGCGGAUUUUUAAGUCAGGGGUGAAAUCCUGGAGCUCAACUCCAGAACUGCCUUUGAUACUGGGAAUCUCGAGUCCGGGAGAGGUGAGUGGAACUCCGAGUGUAGAGGUGAAAUUCGUAGAUAUUCGGAAGAACACCAGUGGCGAAGGCGGCUCACUGGCCCGGUACUGACGCUGAGGUGCGAAAGCGUGGGGAGCA